ACGACGGAAAGAGCGCUUUCGAGCGACAGGCACCUAUUCAGCAUUGGCGAUUCUUCCCGCCGCAGAAAGGGAGGAAGGGCCUACUUUCUAACGGAGCCCCAUCGGUUAAGCGUCACGUUCCAGAGAACUCGCGGCCUACAAGCGAGCUACUGCGAGUUAAUGGUGUCAAUAUCUGACUUUGGCUACGCUGCACGCGGCGCGCUUAACGCAAGAGUUUUUAAAAACGCCAGCUAUUUACGCGCGUCUCAUAACGGGAAGCAUUCAAAGAAAAGCAGCUAAUGUCGUACACCUUUUCUAUUCUUUCGUUUAAAUUGCAAAUUAAUGAAAACACCGCGCGACAUAUGCGUGUUUGGAAAGCGCAAAUAUAACGUUUACACAAUUUGCCAGCUCUCUCGCUACAUUCACAUCAAUGUAAUGCAAGAAAGGCUAUUUAUGAAAGAAACGAUUUAUUUGCGGUAGAGAAGAUUAGAGAUCUUAUAUAAAUUUUAAUCGUACACUUACUCGUAAAUCUAUAAUGGUUUAUAGCAAAUAAAUUCGCGGAUUGCGUGAAAUAAUUUACCGUUGCGUUACGUCAAGGACUUGCACGCCAGUCGUGUCUGUCUACCUGUAUGAACGCGCGAAACCGGCGAUAACAGUUCGAACGUAUACACACGGCGACGAUUACGUCAGCUUUAAAAUUAUAUCGCGCGACAUAAUCGCCGGAAUCGCUCGCGUAGAUAAACGAGCAUGCAACAAAGUGGCUCUCGUCAACGCACACCGAUCUUGUCAAUAGGCGCUACAAGGUGGUUCACUUAUCUCGAUAAAAAUUACAGCCUAACUUUCGGCAAGUUAGUGUUUACUUGCGACACUGAGCAAAUGUACGCACGUAACAUAAAUGAUAUCUCUUGUGUAAAGUAGCCAAGAAAAAAAACGAAUAAUUAUAGAUGCAAUUAAUAGGAGUAAUAUAUAGUUAAUUUUAUAGUUUAAUUAAACAAUUGAAAGAGGUGCUACAGAUGUCAGUUGGCAAGGAAAGAGUAUAUUAUGAAAACGAAAAAUGAAAUUAAUAAGGAUUUCAGAUCUAAUUGGCAGUGCAGAGUAAACGUAAACAAAAAAUUCGACGUUACAAGCAUGGAUAUUAUGUAGUAAUGCACUUAUGUAACAGCAUACUAACUUUGGUUAUGGUAAUCGAUGACGUCAUAUCUCGUGAACAUGUUGUAAGUGGCCGAGAACACUGGGGCAUUGUGAUUGUUUGGAUUUCACGACUUCAACGGGAACAUAAUGGUUUCAUAUUUAAUAUUCAUAAUGUGGACGACGGCAGAAAAUAAGGAAGUUACAAAACAGGCAGCGUGUUUUUACCAGAGGCUGAAUGUUUUUGUAUCGACAAAUGGAAAUACCGAUUCGUAUAAAACAUGCAUAUGCAUAUGCAUUAUCAAUCAGGUUUCAUUAAAUAUCAAAGUCGAUCUCAA